rnacentral:rRNA from 1 species
AUUGAACGCUGGCGGCAGGCCUAACACAUGCAAGUCGAGCGAGCGGCGGACGGGUGAGUAAUGUCUGGGAAACUGCCUGAUGGAGGGGGAUAACUACUGGAAACGGUAGCUAAUACCGCAUACCAUCAGAUGUGCCCAGAUGGGAUUAGCUAGUAGGUGGGGUAACGGCUCACCUAGGCGACGAUCCCUAGCUGGUCUGAGAGGAUGACCAGCCACACUGGAACUGAGACACGGUCCAGACUCCUACGGGAGGCAGCAGUGGGGAAUAUUGCACAAUGGGCGCAAGCCUGAUGCAGCCAUGCCGCGUGUGUGAAGAAGGCCUUCGGGUUGUAAAGGACUUUUGUCAGGGAAGCGGUACCUGAAGAAUAAGCACCGGCUAACUACGUGCCAGCAGCCGCGGUAAUAC